rnacentral:rRNA from 1 species
UACAGAGGGUGCGAGCGUUAAUCGGAUUUACUGGGCGUAAAGCGUGUGUAGGCGGUUCGCUAAGUCGGAUGUGAAAGCCCUGGGCUCAACCUGGGAAUUGCAUUCGAUACUGGCAAGCUAGAGUACGGUAGAGGGCGGCGGAAUUCCGGGUGUAGCGGUGAAAUGCGUAGAUAUCCGGAGGAACACCGAUGGCGAAGGCAACCGCCUGGGCCUGUACUGACGCUGAGACACGAAAGCGUGGGGAGCAAACAGG